GGACUACCCGGGUUUCUAAUCCCGUUCUCUCCCCUGGCUUUCGUGUGGGAGCGUCAGGAGUGCGCCAGUAGAGUGCCUUCGCCUUUGGUGUUCCCCACGAUAUCAACGGAUUUCACCCCUCCACCGUGAGUUCCCUCUACCUCUCGCACCCUCAAGUCGUGCCGUUUCAUUCGCACGCCGUAGGUUAGGCCCACGGAUUUUACGAACGACUAACACGACCGCCUAGACACGCUUUACGCCCAGUAAUUCCGGGUAAUGGUCGGGGCCUCUGUAUUACCGCGGCUGCUGGCAC
rnacentral:rRNA from 1 species